UAUAUAUAUAUAUAUAUAUAUAUAUAUAUUUCUCUAACUUAUACAUUUUAACAAACCUUGAUAAAGUUGACAUUAUUGAUCCAUUAGGUGGAUUAAAACUGCCAUUUUGACACGGUCAUGUGUUUACAAAAUGCGGGUCUUUUUUAAGAUGCCGUCACAGAGUUUUUUGUUCAAACCUUGCUUCGCUUUUUUUAAUUAAUCUCAUGACGCCCUCAGCUGAGAAUAUUGGGAAGGUUCUGUAAUUUUCUGAAAAGAUUUUUAUUUAUCGUCAUUCACCAACUCUUUUCACCCCUAAAUUCAGGCCUAUAGCAUGAUUCUUCAUUGACCGAUACUUGUGAUAUUACCAACCAGUUGUAUUUGUCAAGAGCACCUAAACAACAGACACGUUGGUUACACAUGGAAUGCAUCACAUCUUCCCUACAAAGAUUGGAAAAUAUUUUGAUAGUUAGGCUAUAUAGUCUUUUUGAAGUUUUUCCGCCUUUUGAGAUGACCCAAUGUUGUAGCAUUUAACUUAUUUUCAAUAACUUAAUGACAAAAUAAAAUAAUCAUAACCAAGAAGCCAAGCCUGAUAAAAGGCCAGCAUGAAUUAUAUCCAUUGGUGACAUUACAAAUGGGGGUUCCCACUCUCACUCCCCCAUGUCACCCAGUGGCCCUUUAAGGGCAAUUGCCAAUAUGAAUAUUGAUUAUUAGUAGUAGUAGGAUCUACAUGGCCUACAAGUGGCCCUCUUCACUGGCCUUCCCUUUGCACUAUGAAUGUAAGCAAUGUAAGCAAGCCUUUUUGUGAAGUCACUGCCACACAGAACACUAGCCUGGGUUGUAACGAUGACAGCACCUGCCUUUCUGCUGUAACCUUUUCUACACACCAAUAGGCUUAAUCCUCACUCGCUGGAUGGGGAUGGAUGCCCCCCCCCCCAGCCCAGCUAGCAUUUAGAACUAAGAUAGCCGCUAGGUGGAUAAUGCCCAUGAUCACCAAUAUUGACAUGAACUUAAUCUUAAAGACACCAUUGGGUAAAAAAUUUAACUUUGGUCAUAUUAAAAAGAGAAACAUUUUGAAGUGAAUAUAAUUGUAACAAAACUGCAUUUAGAAAGAAAACACUUUGGUAAUAAUGUUUUUUAAAAAUGUUUUUUAUUUUAAAUUGCUAAAUUUCAGAUGCUAACUGAUUUUGAAGCGAGUCUCGGAGCUGCUUAAUGUUCCAGGUUUACAAUAGCAGUGACCAGCUUUUCUGCCUCUCACAUUUCACACAGAAACCUAAAUCUUUUCCUUCCAGUGACGGAUCACAUACAGUUUGUGUGGUGAAUGUACCAGGAGGUUUCAGGGCCUUAAGCAAGUUGUGGCUUUACCUGUUUGUCGCCCUAUUGUCUCGAGUCCUUCUUUGAUUUGUGAACAUAACUGCCUCAAACUCAACCUCCAAAAUACUCCUGUCUGUACCAUCACUGUCUUGCUCUGUUCCACGGUCAACUGUCAUUAAAGAUGACGUGAAAUUCAAUUAAAUUAAAAUGUUCUAUUCUUAUUCCCAGUCAUACAUUUCAACAGGUCUACAAAUUACUUUUUUGAUUAGAUGUUGUACAUACAAAAUAAAGAUGACUUACUCAAGAGAUUUUAAUCUUGGUUAACUGUUUAGUUAGGGCCUAGCAUUUUUAGUGAUAGAAUCACAACCUGUUUAGCAUGACCGCUCUCCCAUGUUUUGCAACUUUUGUCACGAUCAAACACUGAGGACCAAAGUCCAUUCCCACUAUACGUUUUAUUGCCACGCUGUCAUAUUUUGACAUAAUAUCAGAACAAGAUUUUCUUCUUUAAAAUGUCUUUGAAAGCAGAUGUUGAGCUCCUUUCUCUGCAAACAUUGGUUAUUUUUUUCUUGGCACUUGUGCUCUGGGGUUUGGUCUAGCACAAAUGCCAUGUCAAUAUUUGAAAAGAAUAUGUAGGUUUUGGGGACAAGUGUCUGGCUGUAGAAUUCCACUCUAUGCAAAACUUCACUAUAAUUUCAUCUCUGUCACUCACUGAUUGUAAAGAGAUAAACGGAAAGAUAAUAAAUGGAUACAAAAAUAUAAAGAGAUGCUUCAUGUCACUAUGUAACUUUGCUAAUACUGAUUUGUAUGUGAUUAGUGAUGUUAUGUGAAAUAUAAUUGCAUGUAUAACCUCUGACUAUUGAUCCUUAUCCCUGUUUAAGUGGUGCGGUUAAAGGCAGUGUUGGCUUACCC
ensembl:lncRNA